UAACGAAUAUUCCGCAAUGGACGAAAGUCUGACGGAGCAAUGCCGCGUGCAGGAUGAAGCGGUUUCGCCGUGUAAACUGCUGUCAGGGGCAGGAAAAACUGAUCCGCCCCAAAGGAAGAGACGGCUAACCCUGUGCCAGCAGCCGCGGUAAUACAGGGGUCUCGAGCGUUAAUCGGAAUCACUGGGCUUAAAGGGUGCGUAGGCGGAUCCGUAAGCGCUUUGUGAAAUCCCCCGGCUCAACCGGGGAACUGCAGGGCGAACUGCGGAUCUUGAGGAAACUAGAGGCCGGUAGAACGAUUGGUGGAGCGGUGGAAUGCGUAGAUAUCAAUCGGAAUGCCAAAAGUGAAGACAGCCGGCUGGGGUUUUCCUGACGCUGAGGCACGAAAGCGUGGGGAGCAAACCGGAUUAGAUACCCAAGUAGUCCCUGAGCGGGCUGGCAAGGCG
rnacentral:rRNA from 1 species